rnacentral:rRNA from 1 species
UACGUAGGGGGCAAGCGUUAUCCGGAUUUACUGGGUGUAAAGGGGGCGCAGACGGCGAUGCAAGCCAGGAGUGAAAGCCCGGGGCCCAACCCCGGGACUGCCCUUGGAACUGCGUGGCUGGAGUGCAGGAGGGGCAGGCGGAAUUCCUGGUGUAGCGGUGAAAUGCGUAGAUAUCAGGAGGAACACCGGUGGUGAAGGCGGCCUGCUGGACUGCAACUGACGUUGAGGCCCGAAAGCGUGGGGAGCAAACAGG